rnacentral:rRNA from 1 species
UGUCANGCNGGCAUACAGGGUGAGUANCGCGUGGGAACGUACCUUUUGGUUCGGAACAACACAGGGAAACUUGUGCUAAUACCGGAUAAGCCCUUACGGGGAAAGAUUUAUCGCCGAAAGAUCGGCCCGCGUCUGAUUAGCUAGUUGGUGAGGUAAUGGCUCACCAAGGCGACGAUCAGUAGCUGGUCUGAGAGGAUGAUCAGCCACAUUGGGACUGAGACACGGCCCAAACUCCUACGGGAGGCAGCAGUGGGA